rnacentral:lncRNA from 1 species
AGUUCAAAAUACUUCACUAUUAUUGACAAUCUGUGAUGUAUUUUGUAAGUUAUCUCUAAAUAUUUCAGACUCAAGUGCUUUCUAGAUCUAGAGAGUGGCACUGAAUGGUAGUUCAUGCUUCUUCUCAGCACUGAUAUCCAAAGAGGAAUAGACUUUCUUUUAAUUCAGAUCAAGUAAUAAAAAGGUCCUGGACUUUGCUGAAUGUUCUUGAGUGCACAUGACUGUGCCACUACUUGGUUUACUGCUGUGAAUGUUCUUCAUCUGGGUUUUGGCACACAGCACUGGUUUUGUAUAGUUAUUGUUACCUCUGGAAGAAGAAUUGAACAUGAGAUUAAUGAGACUUCAGAUAACCAGAAAAAAACAAAUAUUUUUACUGUCUGACUUGCAUGUGUCUAUCUUCCAUCUUUGGUAAAGCUGUUCUUCAGGCUCUAUGAAGUCAGUUACGCAAUAGCUGAAGCAGAAAAAACUGAACUUUUCACCUGUUGUUAGCAUACAAAAGUUAAUUUAAAAGCUUAAAUUGUAUGGCUUAAGGAAUGGACAUCUUAACAAACCAGUAUGUGCAUAGGUGCAUUUGGAUUAUAUGUAGUUUCAUUUUUUCUGUUUCACUGACAAUUUAAUGAACUUCUUGAACAGAAGAGUAGAAAAGUCAAUCAUCCUGUUUUGAAAAGAAGAUGACUUGAAAACAAUACAUUUUCAUUGUAAUACGUGAUAACUGUUAACUUGGAUUUUCCAAUAUGCAGCCUUAAAUGUUACCUAACAGUUUAGAAGCAAUUAGAUUUUGGUUUAUCAUGUCUGGAACUGAGGAAUAUUUUUGCAGGGUGCCUGGUGAUCUUGCUAUCUUGAAAAUGAGGCCCAAACCGCUUAUCAGAAGUGUCAUCUCUACACUUUUAUUCCAGGAAUGAUCAGCUAUUAAGAGUGCUAGUUGAGAGUAAGGAAUGCCCUUGUUACAUACAUAGGGCUUAGGCUAUUCAAGUCAAUGAAAAGGCAUUUAUUAUCCUUAGAAGCCUUCCCGAAGUUGCGUUAUGAUGCUCUUUCAACCUUAGUAUAGCUUGAUGAGUAAAGCUGCUCAGGCAAAGGCAGUGAAGAAGGGUGUUAAAACUUGCCUUGUGGCAACACUGAAAGAAUAAACAAAGUCGAUGAGGUGAGAAGUAAAUAUUU